GGGACGGACGAACCUCUGGUGUGCCAGUUGUUCCGCCAGGAGCAUGGCUGGUUGGCUACGUUCGGAAGGGAUAACCGCUGAAAGCAUCUAAGCGGGAAGCCUGCUUCAAGAUGAGGUUUCCACCACCCUCGUGGUGGGAAGGCCCCCAGCAGACCACUGGGUUGAUAGGCCGGACGUGGAAGCGCGGCAACGCGUGGAGCUGACCGGUACUAAUUGGCCGACAACUUGCCACA
rnacentral:ncRNA from 1 species